rnacentral:rRNA from 1 species
CCUACGGGUGGCAGCAGUAGGGAAUCUUCCACAAUGGGCGCAAGCCUGAUGGAGCAACACCGCGUGAGUGAAGAAGGGUUUCGGCGCGUAAAGCUCUGUUGUUGGAGAAGAACGUGCGUGAGAGUAACUGUGCACGCAGUGAUGGUAUGCAACCAGAAAGGCACGGCUAACUACGUGCCAGCAGCCGCGGUAAUACGUAGGUGGCAUGCAUUAACCGGAUUUGUUGGGAGUAAAGCGAGCGCAGGCGGUUGCUUAGGUCUGAUGUGAAGGCCUUCGGCUUAACCGAAGAAGUGCACCGGAAACCGGGCGACUUGAGUGCAGAAGAGGACAGUGGAACUCAAUGUGUAGCGGUGGAAUGCGUAGAUAUAUGGCAGAACACCAGUGGCGAAGGCGGCUGUCUGGUCUGCAACUGACGCUGAGGCUCGAAAGCAUGGGUAGCGAACAGGAUUAGAUACCCCAGUAGUC